rnacentral:misc_RNA from 1 species
GCUCGAUGUAUAUGUCAUGCAUUUUACUUUCACACACACGGCAAACUCCGCAAUCUCGUAACUACACAUUUACAUCGCAUUAUUCACAAGCAUUCCGUGCUCGUCGUUAGAUUGUCAUUAUUAUAAAAGCUUAUGCUUCUCUGUUAUCGUUACUUCUACGCAAGCGGCUAACAGAAGACGCUGUUUCGUGGCAACCCGAGGUCGAUACACCGACUUUCUAUCUUGGACACUAAUUAGCUUAGCGGUAUUUCGCGCACCAGGAGAAGAUGACUUUUGUUACGAAUUCGAUAAAUCGAUUGGAUUAUUUUCCUUUCACCGACUUUACGUCGUGCAACAUCGCCGCGUGAUAGUGCGCAUACACGCUUUUCAAGGAUCUUGAUCGAGGAUAAAAAAGAUGGAUUGGGGAUAAAGGAAAAAAAUACGCGCCUAUUCCUACCAAGGAUCUCGUUGGAUGAGGAUGACGGAACGGAAUCUUCAACGGUUCGAUGACCCUGCUCGGAUAUUGAAUUUCCUCUUGCGAUGAACAAUGUGCUGUAAUUUAUGCAUUACACGCGCCAGAUGGCACGUUGCAUGGGCAAGCAAUAACAGCAAUAUUAUAUUAGCACGACAGAGGAACGGCUAUUGAAUGUGCAAGGGAAAAGCGGACAAAAAGUGAGAUAUUAAACGGGACGAGUGCUGUACACUUAAACUCGUUGUCGGCAGAACGUUUUGCCUUUAAUUAAUUUUCAGUGUGAUUGAAGACGGCAUCGUGGCUUUGAUUUUCUCUCGUUUUCAUAUUCGAGGAG